GAAAAAAACAAAAACAAAUCAUCAAAAUCUCUCCAUUCUGUACAAAAUCUCAACAAACUCUCCAACGUCUCUCACAGCACACUCCCUCACGCCAACUCACUCACUCUCUCACAGAAUUCCUCAGCUGGUUCUCAUUCACUCAUUCUCCACACCUCUCCCUCAUAAAUCACUCUCACAAACCUCACACUCACAGAAACCACAAAAACCCUCGUCUCUCUUCUCCUUCUCCGCCGCCAUAAACUCUUUCACCUUCAUCUUCAACCAUUUCGGUCUCCACCAUCAACACCCUCAAUCGCCCUCCUCGAUUCCAACUACCACCAUCAAAACCCUCACUCCAUCUUCACCUUCAUUCAACCCACGAAUCAACAAAACCAUCACCGAAAAUCACCUCACAAACCCAUCCGCCGUCCUUCUCUGAUUCACACAACCUCCGCGAUCCACCCUUCCGUCAUCGCCGUAAGACCCACCUCACUCACAAACCCAACCCACCGUCGCCUUUCUUCCAUCACCAACAAACACCUUCCAAUUUCAAUCUCCACUAUUCUGUAAACACCGCCGUCAAAUCCGCUCGCACCAACCCGUGUCCGCCGUUAUUGUUAUGUACGUGGUUCCAAAUUGGAAUAGGAUUUUGAGAAUUUUAUUCUGUUCCUGUUUGAAGCACAAAUCGCAUAACACAGUAAACGCGAUAGGGUAACAACAUCCGUCACUGACAACACUACUCAGCGAGUCUCAACGACGACCUCAACUGGACGAGUACAACGAUACCAGCUUGCAUCUUCGACGUCAUAGGAAUUGUGAAGAAAAGUUUGUAGUGAAAUUCUCAAGCGUUGUGGCAAUAGCUGUUGAGUUCUUUAAAUUAAUUACAAUCGCAUGUUAAGCUGAGUUUUAAUGAUAUGUUUUUGAGUUGUAUUGUAUUUAUCUAAUAUGCCUUUCCAACUGAUGCUGCUUGGAUUAAAUCCAGUUUUGAGUUUCAAGUUUGUGACAAAUCUUUACUAGGCUAAGAGUUUGAAUUGGCAAUGUUAUUUAGGAUGAAAGAUUCAUCUCCAUGUAAAUAUUAGUGAGCAUAGACCCUGUAGAGAUUCAUCAAGAUACUGGACUUAUUUGGUGAAGCCAAUAUGUGAUAUUAUUAUUGUUGUGGUUAUUUGCUUCA